rnacentral:rRNA from 1 species
GUGAGGAAUAUUGGUCAAUGGGCGAGAGCCUGAACCAGCCAAGUAGCGUGCAGGAUGACGGCCCUAUGGGUUGUAAACUGCUUUUACACGGGGAUAAAGUGUGCGACGUGUCGUUCAUUGCAGGUACCGUGCGAAUAAGGACCGGCUAAUUCCGUGCCAGCAGCCGCGGUAAUACGGAGGGGGCGAGCGUUGUCCGGAUUUAUUGGGUUUAAAGGGUGCGUAGGCUGGAAGGUCAGUCAGCGGUGAACAGCUAUCGCUUAACGAUAGUCUUGCCGCAGAUACUUCCUUUCUUGGAUGAGGAGGAGGCCACUGGAACGGAUGGUGUAGCGGUGAAAUGCAUAGAUAUCACGAAGAACUCCGAUUGCGAAGGCAGCUUUCCGGGGUACAUCUGACGCUGAAGCUCGAUAGUGCGGGAAUCAAACAGGAUUAGAAACCCCUGUAGUCC